rnacentral:rRNA from 1 species
UGAAUACGAGACGCUAAGGCGUUGAAGUAGUGUAUGUCAUACUUCCAAGAAAAGCUUGCACUGUCAUAGAUAAAAAACGCCUGUACCAUAACCGACACAGGUGGGUAGGUAGAGUAUACUAAGGGGCGCGAGAUAACUCUCUCUAAGGAACUCGGCAAAAUAACUCCGUAACUUCGGGAGAAGGAGUGCCUUAUUUAUAAGGCUGCAAUAACAAGAUCCAAGCAACUGUUUAUCAAAAACACAGGUCUCCGCUAAGUCGUAAGACGAUGUAUGGGGGCUGACGCCUGCCCAGUGCCAGAAGGUUAAAGAAGUUGGUUAGCAAUAGCGAAGCUGAUAACUGAAGCCCUGGUGAACGGCGGCCGUAACUAUAACGGUCCCAAGGUAGCGAAAUUCCUUGUCGGGUAAGUUCCGACCCGCACGGAAGGCGUAAUGAUUUGGAUACUGUCUCGGAGAGGGGCUCGGUGAAAUAGACUUGUCUGUGAAGAUGCGGACUACCUGCACCAGGACAGAAAGACCCUAUGAAGCUUUACUGUAACUUGAAAUUGAAAUUGGACCUUAUUCGCGCAGUAUAGGUGGGAGGCGUUGAUUGUAAUCUUGCGGGAUUAUUGGAGCCAUCAGUGAGAUACCACCCUUGUAAUGUUAGAUUUCUAACUUUGAAUCAUUAUCUGGUCAAAGAACAGUUUCAGGCGGGCAGUUUGACUGGGGCGGUCGCCUCCUAAACGGUAACGGAGGCGUACAAAGGUUUCCUCUGAACGGUUAGAAAUCGUAUCUAGAGUGUAAAGGCAUAAGGAAGCUUGACUGUGAGACCUACAAGUCGAGCAGGGACGAAAGUCGGUCUUAGUGAUCUGACGGUACUGAGUGGAAAGGCCGUCACUCAACGGAUAAAAGUUACUCUAAGGAUAACAGGCUGAUCUCCCCCAAGAGUUCACAUCGACGGGGAGGUUCGGCACCUCGAUGUCGGCUCAUCGCAUCCUGGGGCGGUAGUACGUCCCAAGGGUUGGGCUGUUCGCCCAUGAAAGCGGUACGCGAGCUGGGUUCAGAACGUCGUGAGACAGUUCGGUCCAUAUCCGGUGUAGGCGUUAGAAUAUUGAGAGGAGCCUUCUUUAGUACGAGAGGACCGAGAAGGACAUACCUCUGGUGUACCAGUUAUCGUGCCAACGGUAAACGCUGGGUAGCUAUGUAUGGAGUGGAUAACCGCUGAAAGCAUCUGAGUGGGAACCCCACCUCAAGAUAAGUAUUCUCA